rnacentral:rRNA from 1 species
GCCUGGUUGGGUGGUCUGGCUUCACGGUCAGUUACUGCUCUGACUGGGUCUUUCCUUCUGGGGAUCCAGCGUGCUCUUCAUCGGGUGCGUUGGGGAUCCAGGACUUUUACUGUGAAAAAAUUAGAGUGUUUAAAACAGGCGUUUGCUUGAAUACAUUAGCAUGGAAUAACGGAAUAGGAC